CCAAGAAUACCCAAACGCCAAAUAGAGACCCAACUGCCCCGACCAAUCCAACUCCAAUGUAAGAAAACCCAAAUUCAGCCCGUACGACCCCCUCCAGCGAGAACGUGAUUUCUCAGAAAAAGCAGCGAUAGGCACAAAUCGUUCUCCCUCCCCUUGUCGUUUUCUUCGAGCUCUCUUCCCACAAUACUAUUGUAACAGGAGCAAAUCGUCCUUUGGCUCGAGAUCGAUCCACGUAUUCCCCCUAAGGAAACCAAAUCGAUCGAAGACGUUCGACCCUCUUUCCUCUUCAGGGAUAGAGCUGGAACCUCAGGAAAAGGUGUUGGUCUUUUUCGGUGAAAGAAUUCAAAUUUGUUGAAGAUGAGUUUUGACCCGAAUUCGAUCCGUUUGUUUUAAAUAAGAACGAAAACCCUAGUCAUUUUUAUAUAUAUAAUUGCCUUGGUUCAUUUGAAAGGGGGGGGGGAUUUUUGUAAAAAGAAAUACAGAGGAGAAAAUUAUUUUUAGGGAAAAGAAAAAAAAAGAGCAAUUCUUUUGAGUUGCUCUUGGUUUGGAAAUUCUUGACAGAGCUUCUAACAAGUUUUUAAGAAUACGCUCAAGUAUAACUCCGAACAGAAAAUUCUUGGGUUUGCUGUCGAUUUCUUUCAUUACUGUUCGUGUGAGAAGUUUUUUUUUCGUGGUAAAGUUGGUCAUCUUAUAUUCAUCGUCCCAGAGUCGCUGUUCGGAAAAGCCGUCUGGGAAAACUUAGGAAGUGUGUGGAUAGGUUAAAAUCAGCAACAUUGCUGGAAAUUGAUUUUUCAGCCCCCGAAAAGCCGAAAAACAGGUUGAUAUACAGAUCGUAUACACUGGUAUACAUUAUGAAUAUGCCAUUCAUAGUUGGAAAACGUGUCCAGGCAAUGGAGAACGCAAAAAUACAAAGUUUUGAUUGAAAUCGCAGGUUUGGGAGCGCAAAAACCGUCAAUAUACACAGCAUAUACAUCAAAUAUACACUCAAGGUGUAUCAUGAUUUUGAAGGAAAUAGGCUCAAAGGCCCUGAAAAUUGCAGCGGCAGAAUUUGGGACUAAGGCCCAAAUUUGAUAUCUCCUCUCUUUCUUAUUUAUUUAUUAGGGCAACUUUCACAUAUAGCAAACAAAAAAUUCAUAUU